GGAAACAGAAUGCCAGAAAUCCCCGCACACAGUGGCAUCACCAGCUGUCCGCUGUGGGCCAUGGCGAUGAGGUGCAAUGGCAGUACAUGCCUGGGAGCUCCUGUGGCUGCUGUGCUCAACAGCUGUGGCAGCAGGGGUGAUUCUAAAGACCAGGGUGCUGGUUGGAUUCUUGGGAGUACCCUCGAGUUCUUACAGGUAGAGGUGACAAGCUGGGGUAUGUUAAGUCAUGGUCUGAGAACUAGAGCACUUCUACAAUCGCCACCAAAAUUUCUUACUCAUGUGGUUGGACCCAGAGUAAAUAGACUUCAAGCCCCCAACUCACUCUGAAACUCCCUUGCCAGUGCCAAGGAGCUGUCCAGCCCUCCUGUGCUUGGAAACCUAUGAUGACUUCACUUAGAAAGGAGCACACAUUCAUCAUAAGACUUACAGGGUCCCCCUGCUGCCACUAGACCCAUAAAUACCUAGAGUCAAUCUUGCUCCAGGGAGACAUGUGCCCACUCCCACCUAAGAGGGAGCAGGUCACACUAAAAGAACAAGACUACAUGGUGGCACAGAGCUGUAUUCCCAGCUACUUGGGAGGUGGAAGCAGGAAGAUCAUGAGUUCCAGGCCAGCCCGGACAAAGGGUCUGUCUCAAAAACAAUAUUCAAAACACAAAAGAUCCCAGCGCGCAGGAGAAUAGCAAGCUCAAGGACAGUAUGAACUAAAAAGCAAAAAUCUGUGUCAAAAAUAAAAGACUUUGCAUACAGAUAGAUGAUUGAUACAUUUAGAUAUAGAUAUGAUGUAUGUAUACAUAGCCAGAAACCUGGGAAGUAUGUGGAUUGUAAGGGUGUCACAUCAACGAGGGCAGAUACAACACUAGCUCUGGCCGAAGUUGCUGGAUGGGUGCAUUACUAGUGAUUCCAGAUUUCGUGGGUUACCUUGUGCAGCUGGGGGUGAUUCUAACAGUUACUUAAUUGGCUGACUGGAACAUGAAUUGCCCUGGCAUGAUAUGGAUGCGGCAAAUGCAAAGACUUAAUUAGGGAGACAGAAACAUUAGUGAUCGCAUGUGACCUGGUUUGUCUCCCCCAACUACAGUCCACAAGAAGAAACCUCACAUUAGCCAAUUCCUCAUUAUCAGUCCCAUAACAUAAUCACUCUGUAUUGAAUUUUCCCUGUUCCAACUGCUAGGUGGCUCCUCUUCUCCUGACUGGACCCAGAACAGUGCACACAGCAACCAGCAUGUGCCCUGGGGGACUUCGCAAGGUCCCAGGAGGGAAACACCACCCUGGCCCAGAGCCUCUGAACCCUGGAGCCUUGACCUCCUCUCUCCUGGUCCUUGGCUGUUCCCACGGGCUCCAUUAUUCAAACUUGGUGGGUGUAGGAAACCAGGGCUGGACAGAUAAACUGCUGGUGCUGACAGACUGAGUUCCUGGGAUGAUCUUUGGACAGUCUCUCCAAACCAGACCCCUGGGUGGCCCUCCUGAGUCUUGCAGGGACCCCGUGUGUUGCUGUGGCCAAUCCUGCAAAUUUCCCGCUGUCUCACCAGAAAACCAGCCCUAACAAGCCCG